AUUGAACGCUGGCGGCAUGCCUUACACAUGCAAGUCGAACGGUAACAGGUCUUCGGAUGCUGACGAGUGGCGAACGGGUGAGUAAUACAUCGGAACGUGCCCGAUCGUGGGGGAUAACGCAGCGAAAGCUGUGCUAAUACCGCAUACGAUCUACGGAUGAAAGCGGGGGAUCUUCGGACCUCGCGCGGACGGAGCGGCCGGUGGCAGAUUAGGUAGUUGGUGGGGUAAAGGCUCACCAAGCCUGCGAUCUGUAGCUGGACUGAGAGGAAGACCAGCCAAACUGGGACUGGGACACGGCCCAGACUCAUACGGGAGGCAGCAGUGGGGAAUUUUGGACAAUGGGCGCAAGCCUGAUCCAGCCAUGCCGCGUGCAGGAUGAAGGCCUUCGGGUUGUAAACUGCUUUUGUACGGAACGAAAAGUCUCUUUCUAAUAAGGAGGGAUCAUGACGGUACCGUAAGAAUAAGCACCGGCUAACUACGUGCCAGCCGCCGCCGUAA
rnacentral:rRNA from 1 species